AGUGAACGCUGGCGGUAGGCCUAACACAUGCAAGUCGAACGGCAGCACAGUAAGAGCUUGCUCUUACGGGUGGCGAGUGGCGGACGGGUGAGGAAUACAUCCGAAUCUACUUUUUCGUGGGGGUUAACGUAGGGAAACCUACGCUAAUACCGCAUACGACCUACGGGUGAAAGCAUGGGAUCUUCGGACCUUGCGGGAUUGAAUGAGCCGAUGUCGGAUUAGCUAGUUGGCGGGGUAAAGGCCCACCAAGGCGACGAUCCGUAGCUGGUCUGAGAGGAUGAUCAGCCACACGGGAACUGAGACACGGUCCAGACUCCUACGGGAGGCAGCAGUGGGGAAUAUGGGACAAUGGGCGCAAGCCUGAUCCAGCCAUACCGAGUGUGUGAAGAGGGCCUUCGGGUUGUAAAGACCUUUUGUUGGGAAAGAAAAGCAGCAGGUUAAUACCCCGCUGUUCUGACGGUACCCAAAGAAUAAGCACCGGCUAACUUCGUG
rnacentral:rRNA from 1 species